AAUAGCAGUCAUAGGGAGGGUUCCAUAUUUGGACAUGUUAUACACCGUAUUUAACUGAUCUUCCAUUACUCAUUAUUUAAGUUUUCAAUCCUUUGUGUUAUUCACUGAACAGAUACAUAAUUAUCAAAACAACCAAUAGAAAAGAAAUGUUUAGAUUCAGUCAAAAAUGUCACAUGUUCAUCAAGAUUAUUGUCAGAGUCAUCAAUUAAACAGGUGAGUACUAUUUCAUGGCCCUUCUAUUCCUUCUCAUGGUUCAAAGAGAUAUAUCCCAAGAGGUUUAUAGUGAACUUAAAUAUGAUAUGGAAAUUUCUCACAGGUAAUUCCUGGAACUACAAGAUAUGAUCUGUUACAACUUCUCCCUUCCAGUUUUUCCUACUCUGGCUUCAUAGUUUCUACUCUUCCCUGAGAGAAUCAUAAAAAAUGAAAAAAUUCAAGGGGCCUGUGACAUUAAAGGAUAUUACUGUGGAGUUCAGCAAGGAGGAGUGGAAAUUAUUGACUCCUGCUCAGAAGACCCUUUACAAGGAUGUUACACUGGACAACUAUAAUCUCCUGGUCUCUGUGGGCUAUCGUGUGAGUAAGCCAGCUAUAGUUCUUAAACUGAAGCAAGGGAAAGACCCAUGGAGCUUAGAAGUUGAAUGUCCACGUCGAAAGCAUACUGAAAAAGUAAAGAAUGUUCAGAAUCCCAGAGGAAGAUCCCAGAAAAGCCAAACUGGAAAUUCAAGGAAUAGAGAACCUGCAAGACCUCAGAAAACACAGAAGCAACAGGAAAGCUAUGACUGCAACGAAUGUGGGAAGUCUUUCUGCACGAAGUCUGCCCUUACAGUGCACCAGCAGACACACUCCAAGGACAUAUCCUAUGAAUGUGAGAAAUGUGGAAAGUCUUUCUCGAAAAAUGACGACCUCACAAAACACCAGAAAGUUCACACCAGAGACAAAACCUACGAAUGCAAAGAAUGUAAAAGCAUUUUCUACCACCUGUCAUCACUCAGUCGACACCUGAGAACCCAUGCAGGAGAUAAACCCUAUGAAUGUAAGCAGUGUGAGAAAUCUUUCUACCAGAAGCCACAUCUCAUGGAACAUCAGAAAACUCACACAGGAGAGAAGCCCUUCAAGUGUACUGAAUGUGGGAAGUUCUUCUACAUGAAAGCAUACCUCCUGGUUCAUCAGAAAACACAUACUGGGGAGAAACCUUUUCAGUGCAAGGAGUGUGGCAACUUCUUUUCCCAGAAGUCACACCUCACAGUACAUCAGAGAUCACACACAGGGGAGAAGCCCUACAAAUGUAAGGAGUGUGGGAAGUUAUUCUCCAGGAAUUCUCAUCUCAAAACCCAUCAGAGAACUCACACUGGAGAGAAGCCGUAUGAGUGUAAGGAAUGCAAAAAAUGCUUCUACCAGAAGUCAGCCCUCACAGUGCACCAGCGAACUCACACAGGGGAGAAGCCCUUUGAAUGUAGUAAGUGUGGAAAACACUUCUAUUAUAAGUCAGAUCUCACUAAACAUGAAAGAAAACACACAGGGGAAAAGCCCUAUGAAUGUUCAGAGUGUGGGAAAUCCUUCUCUGUGAACUCAGUCCUCAGAUUACAUCAAAGGACUCACACGGGAGAGAAGCCCUAUGAAUGCGAAGAGUGUGGGAAAUGCUUUUCUCAGAGGUCACACUUCAUUAUACAUCAGAGGAAGCAUACUGGGGAGAAGCCAUACGAGUGUCAAGAGUGUGGGGACACCUUCAUCCAGAAGUCACAGCUCAAUACACAUCGGAAGACACAUGCACAGAAGGGAAAAGCUGACAAAUAGCGUGACUGUUUCUGUUGGAAUUCGCCCAGCAGAAGGAUCAGAUAAUUCAUGUAAUGAGAAUUGUCAAUGAGAAAGUUCUGAGUUGUAACUUUUCCUUACAGAAUAUCAGCCAGUGCAGUAAGUUUAUUAGGAAGACCUUUUAAUCACAGGAUAGACUUUACAAAGUAUCAGACAACAGAGAGAGCACAUGGGAGAGAAUUCCUGUUAGUAAAAUGAUGGCCAAGAAGUUUUAUGUGGAAGUACCUAAUGCCAGACAUCUAAAAGUGCACAUUCAUGAGAAAGUCCUGUGAAUAGCUCUAAGUAUUCAAAACCAUGGCACAAAAGUGGCACUUACAACAGAAAACUGCAGAGAUUGUGACAGAUAAUAGAUGUUUUCAUCAAGAUGAUGUUUCAUGAAAUGCCCUAGCAUUCAUACUUAUACCCUUUAUUGUACAUAUUUGAAAGAUUGUAAACAAAAAUUCGAAGACUGUGUGGAGAGAAGCACUUAUAGUAUGUCAUGUUGCAGAUUUCCAAGGCAUCACAAAAAAAGAACAAAAAAAGAAGCUAAAAUUUUAGCUUUCAGAAAACUUUCAACUGUUUUGUGCUCAGCAGAGUUUGGAUAAGGUACAUAUUUACUUAUAGCAAAAGUCUGAAAUGCUUUAAAAAUAGUUGGAAACGGAUUUUUUUUGUUCUCUACAAAAUAAGAACAAGUUACAGUACUAUGUAAGAAGUAUCAUUUACUUGUUUUAGCAAGGUGUAGAGCUUAUCUGUGUAUUUUGUACGAGAGUCUUAAAUGUUUGGUAUUGCUGUUCUUUGCCUUGUAGAAGCAGAUGGCUAAGAGGUGAACUCUGGAGACCAGAUCCCAGCCUGGGCCUCAGCUGCCCUGUGCUUUGGCUCCUUUUUUGUGGGAAUAGUAGUUAGUCACAUCUUGGGAUUGCUUGGAGGUUGGAAAUUAGUGAAUAUUUGUGAAGCACUUAGAAUAGUUUCUGAGACACAGACCACCUACCCAUUAGAUAUUGUCAUGCUGCUUAAUUGUCCUGAUUUAUGCAGUGAAUUAAAAGAAUAUCAAUGCAAAUUCAUCUCCUAACUUAGGGCUGCUCAUGUGUCCACUUGAUUUGGUGGUUUCCCUCACAGGAACUCGAGAAUGAAUUUUCUAUUCGCCUAUCACGCCCAUCUGAUCCACUGCCCAUUCGUGUAGCUUUCAUGCUGAGACUAGGUUUGUAUUAUUAAUUGGUUGAAACAAAGAAUAUUUGGGGACACAUGGAAAUGACCUAUUAAAUUUUUGGCGUCCAUAAAUAAAGCAUUCUGAGAAUACGAAUACAAACCAUUUGUUUAUAUUUUGCCUGUGGCUGCCUCCUUCUGUAGCCAUGGAGUCCAGAGCUGUGACAGACUUGAUGGCCUACAGCACUAUUUACUACCUAGCACUUUAUCAAACAAGUUUUCUGUUCCUUGGAGAUGAAAACAUUGUAGCCAAUGCAGAGGUAUUCCUUUUGUUAAUGUUCUUUGCUUCAGAAAUUAUGCCUACAGUACAAAUUUGAAUAGAUGAUUUCUGUGUAGUGUAUUUAUUUUUUGCAUAUUUGUAGGUCAAAAGCCUAAGCUUAGAAGUAUUUUUUCAAAGAAAUACGUUUAUUUUAAACUGGCUAAACUGUAAUCAUAGCAAAUGUCCCAAUGAUAUGUAGCAAACGUGAAAUAAACAUUGUCUAAACUGAA